rnacentral:rRNA from 1 species
GCCCCAUAGUCUGGGAUACCACUUGGAAACAGGUGCUAAUACCGGAUAAGAAAGCGGAUCGCAUGAUCAGCUUUUAAAAGGCGGCGUAAGCUGUCGCUAUGGGAUGGCCCCGCGGUGCAUUAGCUAGUUGGUAAGGUAAAGGCUUACCAAGGCGAUGAUGCAUAGCCGAGUUGAGAGACUGAUCGGCCACAUUGGGACUGAGACACGGCCCAAACUCCUACGGGAGGCAGCAGGC